CUGCGGAGGGAUCAUUACAGAGAACAUCGCCCUCACAGGGGUGACUCUCCAACCCUAUGUUAUUAAAACCUUUGUUGCUUUGGCGAGCCGCUUCGGCCACCGGCUCUUGCUGGUGCGCGCUCGCCAAAGGACCACAAACUCUGUUUAUUAGUGUCGUCUGAGUACUAUAUAUAAUAGUUAAAACUUUCAACAACGGAUCUCUUGGUUCUGGCAUCGAUGAAGAACGCAGCGAAAUGCGAUAAGUAAUGUGAAUUGCAGAAUUCAGUGAAUCAUCGAAUCUUUGAACGCACAUUGCGCCCCGUGGUAUUCCGCGGGGCAUGCCUGUUCGAGCGUCAGUACAACACUCAAGCUCUGCUUGGUAUUGGACCGCAUCAGUUCUGAUCGAUCUUAAAAUCAGUGGCGGUGCCAUCGUGCUCUAAGCGUAGUAAUACUCCUCGCUACAGGGCCUCGGUGCGUACUUUUCAGCAACCCCCAACUUUCUAAGUUUGACCUCGGAUCAGGUAGGGAUACCCGCUGAACUUAAGCAUAUCAAAAGCGGGAAGGAAAUGCUGCUUUCUAAACCUUACCUCUAUUGACAAUCUUGACCUCAAAUCAGGUAGGACUACCCGCUGAACUUAAGCAUAUCAAUAAGCGGAGGAAAACCCAAAACGGGUCAGAAACUCUCAACGCGGGAUCUCCUUGGUUUCUGGCUCGAUGAAGAAACGCAACGAAACGCUAAUAA
rnacentral:sRNA from 1 species